GCUGGGUACGGUAGCGCAUGCCUGUAAUCCCAGCAGCUCGGGAGGCCGAGGCAGGAGGAUUGCGAGUUCAAAGCCAGCCUCAGCAAAAUCAAGGCACUAAGCAACUCAGUGAGACUCUGUCUCUA
rnacentral:sRNA from 1 species